rnacentral:lncRNA from 1 species
CAAAUUUGGGAAAAUGUUUGCAUUAUUUCUUCAAAUACUUUUUGUGCUGCUCUGUGUUCUCUCCUUCUGAGAUUAGUUGAUAUGUACUGCAAAUCACAGAUAAUUUUUUCCAUCUUUUUUUCCAUGUGUUCUACAGUCUGGAGAAUUUUGUUGACCCAGCAUCAAGUUCACUGAUCUUUUUUGUUGUGUACAAUCUGCUAUUCAGCACAUCCACUUCCAAAGUCAUGUUGCUGAUAUUGAAAUGUCAAUUCCUUGACCUUUGGAUGCACAUGGGAGUCUCAGAGAACAUUCCAAGCAUUUGAAAGCUUUUGCAUGGCAGGAGACAGAGAGAAACCCUGAAAGGAAGACUGAACCACAGGAUUUCUGACCCUCUAGGUAUGAACUGACCAACAAAUCACUGCAUUAGAAUGAAAAAUAAUCAGAAAUGACACUAUUAAGUUGCUUGCCUGAAGUAGGUUGGGAGCUCGGAUCAGAGAUCUGACAAUUACGGCUAUAAAGAAAAUCACAUUUUCUGCUGACACGAAUUUGUGAUGGUGGAAUUCAUACCUGUGUUGCAGCUAAAGCAUUUAGCUCCUAUUAAAAGUUGGAUAUUCUCGGCAGCUGACGGAACAGGAGGAUCUUCAAGAUGUCUAAAUUAAACUUUUCUUUUGCCAGUUAAACUCUUUUCUCUUUAUCUGAUUCCACUGGAG